AAAAUAAGUGCUACAGGUCUUAAGGUUGUAAGGCUGUGUACGAAGUCAAGGGAAGCUUUCAGUUUUCCUGUUGAGCAUUUAACUCUUCAUUAUCAGGUUCGCCAUCUUGAUACGUCAGAGAAAAGUGAGCUUCACAAGUUAUAGCAA